rnacentral:rRNA from 1 species
GAUGAACGCUAGCUACAGGCUUAACACAUGCAAGUCGAGGGGAAACGGCAUCGAAAGCUUGCUUUUGAUGGGCGUCGACCGGCGCACGGGUGAGUAACGCGUAUCCAACCUGCCCAUCACUUGGGAAUAACCUUGCGAAAGUAAGACUAAUGCCCAAUGACAUCCCACGAAGGCAUCCGAAUGGGAUUAAAGAUUUAUCGGUGAUGGAUGGGGAUGCGUCUGAUUAGCUUGUUGGCGGGGUGACGGCCCACCAAGGCAACGAUCAGUAGGGGUUCUGAGAGGAAGGUCCCCCACAUUGGAACUGAGACACGGUCCAAACUCCUACGGGAGGCAGCAGUGAGGAAUAUUGGUCAAUGGGCGAGAGCCUGAACCAGCCAAGUAGCGUGCAGGAGGACGGCCCUAUGGGUGGUAAACUGCUUUUAUAAGGGAAUAAAGUGGGUCACGUGUGACUUUUUGCAUGUACCUUAUGAAUAAGGACCGGCUAAUUCCGUG